rnacentral:tRNA from 1 species
GGGGUUGUGGCUCAGUGGUACAGCGCUUGCAUCGCAUGCAUGAGGCUCUGGGUUCGAUCCUCAGGACCACA